GCAAUCCUAAAUGGGGGUGACCAGUGGUUUGAAGAAGACAAAAAUGAUGAAUGGACUAACAACAUUGACAUAGAUGAUGGAAAUCAAGAAUGGCAAGGUGCUUCCAGGAGGAACUUUAGACCAAUCUUGGAAAACGUCAACACACAAAUGGAGGUGAAGAUCAAAAGACCAGAGAUUUACCCACCCCUGUAUUACAGCUCAUGUUGAAAUGUUCCUAGCAUGUGCAAUGGGAAUGUAAAGUUGUUUUGUGUGUCUAUAUAUAUACUGUAAAUAUACUGGAUGUUUUUAUAUUUUUGUUUUAGUAAGUUUCCCAGUCUGUUCUUACCUCCUGUUUUCUUUUUUAGAAAGGGUUUGUUGUUUACAGAACUCAAUAGCUUAAGCUUACAUUUGCAUACACAAGUCAAAGAGGCAGAGCACUCCUCCCCUUCUCUCUCUGUAUAGUGAUCUGUAAGAUUCUACUGAAGGACAAUGUGUAUGAAAGGAAACAACUUGGCCCAGAUUCACAAACGAGA